rnacentral:rRNA from 1 species
AUUGAACGCUGGCGGCAGGCCUAACACAUGCAAGUCGAACGGUAACAGGAAACAGCUUGCUGUUUCGCUGACGAGUGGCGGACGGGUGAGUAAUGUCUGGGAAACUGCCUGAUGGAGGGGGAUAACUACUGGAAACGGUAGCUAAUACCGCAUAACGUCGCAAGACCAAAGAGGGGGACCUUCGGGCCUCUUGCCAUCGGAUGUGCCCAGAUGGGAUUAGCUAGUAGGUGGGGUAACGGCUCACCUAGGCGACGAUCCCUAGCUGGUCUGAGAGGAUGACCAGCCACACUGGAACUGAGACACGGUCCAGACUCCUACGGGAGGCAGCAGUGGGGAAUAUUGCACAAUGGGCGCAAGCCUGAUGCAGCCAUGCCGCGCGUAUGAAGAAGGCCUUCGGGUUGUAAAGUACUUUCAGCGGGGAUGAAGGGAGUAAAGUUAAUACCUUUGCUCAUUGACGUUACCCGCAGAAGAAGCACCGGCUAACUCCGUG